GAUCGCACUGCUCGCACACAGCAGACUCUUGUCAGAGCGCCCAAGCCUGGAGGCUGUGGCGGCUACAAAAUGUUUAUUUUCCCCUCUGCAGGUUCCAUCGCUAAUAAUUAGUUGUCCCUGAGUGAGUGUGUGGAGCUUAGCCUCGAUGAUGUUUCCUGUACACUGCACAUACAGAGGAGAUCCUGUCCCCAUAUAUUUCUAUAAAACACACUGAAAAAGGGCAUCAGCAGCAAUGGAGGACAUUAUCAAGUCGUACUGAGCAGUGCACCUUGUGAAGCCAGCACUGAGAUCAGACAAUACAUCAGAACAUCCACGUGAUAUGUCCAGUGCUG